rnacentral:rRNA from 1 species
UACGGAGGGGGCGAGCGUUGUCCGAAGUUACUGGGCGUAAAGGGCGCGUAGGCGGGGGCAUAAGUCCGCUGUGAAAGCCUGCGGCUUAACCGCAGAGGGUCGGUGGAGACUGUGCCUCUUGAAGGUGCUAGGGAGAGAUGGAAUUACCGGUGUAGCGGUGAAAUGCGUAGAGAUCGGUAGGAACACCAGUGGCGAAGGCGGUCUCUUGGAGCACUCUUGACGCUGAGGCGCGAAGGCUGGGGGAGCGAACGGG